rnacentral:sRNA from 1 species
GCUUAGUUUCCGGUUCAGACUGGAAAGCGGGGGAACCAGUUUUUUUGGGGCGAAUCAUUCUUUAAAGAUUGUAGGGUACCAUCUUACCCGAGUCCGUCAGCUAACCUCGUCAGCAG